rnacentral:rRNA from 1 species
UACGUAGGGUGCGAGCGUUGUCCGGAUUUAUUGGGCGUAAAGGGCUCGUAGGCGGCGUGUCGCGUCGGGAGUGAAAACUCAGGGCUUAACCCUGAGCCUGCUUCCGAUACGGGCAGACUAGAGGUAUGCAGGGGAGAACGGAAUUCCUGGUGUAGCGGUGAAAUGCGCAGAUAUCAGGAGGAACACCGGUGGCGAAGGCGGUUCUCUGGGCAUUACCUGACGCUGAGGAGCGAAAGUGUGGGGAGCGAACAGG